rnacentral:rRNA from 1 species
CGUCUAUAUACGUAUAGCAUAUCAAUAAGCGGAGGAAAAGAAACUAACUAGGAUUCCCUCAGUAACGGCGAGUGAAGCGGGAAGAGCUCAAAUUUGAAAUCUUCAAGGUUCUACCUUGACGAAUUGUAGUUUAAAGAAGUGUUCUCUGUUGGAGUUUUGGUAAAAGUUCUUUGGAAUAGGACAUCAUAGAGGGUGAGAAUCCCGUAUUUGACCAUUAUUUCCAACUUUGUGAUACACUUUCAAAGAGUCGGAUUGUUUGGGAAUGCAGUCCAAAAUGGGUGGUAAAUUUCAUCUAAAGCUAAAUACUGGCGAGAGACCGAUAGCGAACAAGUACCGUGAGGGAAAGAUGAAAAGAACUUUGAAAAGAGAGUUAAACAGUACGUGAAAUUGUCAAAAGGGAAGCGUUUGACACCAGUGUUGUUUUCUCGAAAAUCAAUUAAAAAUGGCGGGAUUUUGUGUUGUAUUGACUUUAUCAGCUUUCUGCACUUUUUUCCUGUCUUUUUUAAUGCACUUUUCGUUUAACAAGUCAACAUCAAUUUCUUUUGUUGUAAAAGGGUCAUUGGAAGGUGGCUUUCUUUUCGGAGAAAGUGUUUAUAGCCUUUGACUUCUGCAAUCGGAGAGAUUGAGGUCUGCAGCGUAGAUCCUUCGGGGUUAGAUGCAUUUGUGCUAAGUUAUAGCCUUUCAUAGACAACUUGUUGACUAUGAUCAGUCAUGUAGCUUACUCGCUUAUGCUAUUUUACCUACGCUUAGGAUGUUGACGAUCAGCUGAGCGCG